rnacentral:rRNA from 1 species
AACUCUGUGCAAUGGAGCACACGGCUCGUGCAUCGAUGAAGCCCGCGGCAAAAAGCGAUAUGUAAUGAGAUUCGUUAGCCUCGAGAUUCAUCAAAUUGGUGAACACAGUCUGGACCUCGCAAGAGGUACUUAGCUUAGAGUGCUAGUUUUAUAUCAAUUGAUACUGGUAAAAGGU